rnacentral:tRNA from 1 species
AGUCCGUAAAUCCGAUCAGGUUGACUUUUAAUCAAUUGGUUCGGGGUUCGAGUCCCCGACGGCCUACCA